CCUCGCUUCACGACCUCCCAAGCCCCCCAAAUUCUGGACCUCCGACUCCGACCAGAGCUACCGCUGGUGCGUGGACCACCGUAGCUCCGUCGCUCACAGUCGCCGGAAACGUUAGGUCUUCUCGAUUAGUUCUGCGUUUUUGGAGUUUUGGAGAAGAGGAACUAUUGGGUCAGUUCAUUGAGAAUGGAUGGAGGAAUUCGAGUGAUUGUUGGUCAAGGAGCAGUCGAGCCAGAGCAGCAAAGAUUGGAUUCGCCUUUGUUUGAAAAGGGAAGAAAUGGGAUUCGAAAGAUUGGUGAGGAUGGAGCACGACUAUGUUGGAUCGAGUUACAGUUUGGGAAAGAAGAAUGGUAAGGGCCCGAUU